rnacentral:rRNA from 1 species
AAUAGAUACCCCGGUAGUCCACGCCGUAAACGGUGGGCACUAGGUGUGGGCGACAUUCCACGUCGUCCGUGCCGCAGCUAACGCAUUAAGUGCCCCGCCUGGGGAGUACGGCCGCAAGGCUAAAACUCAAAGGAAUUGACGGGGGGCCCGCACAAGCGGCGGAGCAUGUGGCUUAAUUCGACGCAACGCGAAGAACCUUACCAAGGCUUGACAUACACCGGAAACGUCCAGAGAUGGGCGCCCCCGUUGUGGUCGGUGUACAGGUGGUGCAUGGCUGUCGUCAGCUCGUGUCGUGAGAUGUUGGGUUAAGUCCCGCAACGAGCGCAACCCUUGUCCCGUGUUGCCAGCAGGCCCUUGUGGUGCUGGGGACUCACGGGAGACCGCCGGGGUCAACUCGGAGGAAGGUGGGGACGACGGUCAAGGUCAUCAUGCCCCUUAUGUCUUGGGCUGCACGACGUGCUACAAUGGCCGGUACAAUGAGCUGCGAUACCGUGAGGUGGAGCGAAUCUCAAAAACGCCGGUCUCAGUUCGGAUUGGGGUCUGCUAACCG